AUGCAGUCUGGGAGAGGGGGGCUCAAGUGGGGUUUGUGAACCACGUGGCUGGGAUGGCUUCAGAGAAGAGGUGACAGCUCGUGCGUUGCAGGGUGUGCAAUAAAUAGCAAAGCCUCCUGAAGCAGAACAGGGAGGUGGGUCUGCAUGCACAAUCAGAUAAACCUCUUCGCUGAGGCUGCAGGUUGCCAGAGACGUGUCUCCAGAGCCCGAAUUAAACAGAAACCUCCCUCUGGCCAAAAAGGCAGCUAGACGUCAUUUACACACCAGUGCAAAAAAUAAAACACCUGGCAGGUUCCCGGGCAGCCUCUCAGGUGUGCCCUGAGGGCUGGAGCAGAGAUACCUUGGGUGAUGGGCUCCCUUUCAAGUGGAAAAUUGGAAUUCCAGUCUCAGGCCUAAGGAAAAGGUUGCUCUUUCUCCUGCAUCUCCUCUUGCUGACCGAGGCGUGGCUUGGAGGCAUCCUGUGCCCUGGGAAGUCCUGAAGGAAGACCUUUCCUGCACCCUCUGACAAGGAGCCCGAGAGCCAGUGAAGUUAGGUACCCAAAUUCUUAAUCAUUCUGCUAUGGCAAUCCUGCCUUCGGAUGGAGAAAUGAGGACAUAAACCCUGGGCUAGGACAGCCUCUUCUCAUGCUGGGCACGUUCUCUUACCAACUCUGGAAGGAAUCGAGGAAAGAUGAGGAUGGGAAGAUUUGCCUGGGGACUCUCAUGUGAUCACAGUCACGUGUCAUCUGGGGCUGCUGCCUUGAGAAAGCCCAACUGAACUGGAUAUCCACGGCUGGCAGUUAGUGCUGUCACUGGGCUGCUCCUCUUGAGCUGGGCAUACUGUUGCCUUCCUUGUACAGACGAGCAAAUGGAUGCUCAAUGCCACAGCCCAGAAUGGGCAAUGCCUGGGCAAGCCAACAGGCACUGAGAGAAAUGAGAUUGCACCCGUUCCAAGCCUACCUCCCAAGAGGCUUUGAAUACUCUCAUUCUCCCCCUUGAAAACCUGCCCAGCUGCCACGUGAACAAGCUGAUGUGUUUCUGCUAGAGGAUAAAGAACCACAUAGGGCAGAGAUGAGCCAUCCUAGCUGAGCCCCUUCCAGAUGAGCCAGUCCCUAUCAGACAGUAGACACGAUAAUCCAAAAGGAUGAAGUGUUAUUUCCUUGGUGGCACCUCUGCUUCCAGACACUUUCAAGAAUGUGAGUGUCUAUGCAGCAGGAACAGACAACCUGAGAUGUUGGCUUUGUGAUAAUUCACUAGGUUUUAUCAACAUAUGUGAACACACAGAUUUUCAGCUAAUAUUAGAAGCUGAAAUGGAACUGAUGACUGUGAUCCCCAGACAGUCUACACCACAUCUCUUGAAAGAAGAGCAGGCAUCCUAUUGAAAUAUGCAUCCUGCCCCCACCUUCUUUUCUCCUGGGUUCCCACUGUGGGUCAAU